rnacentral:rRNA from 1 species
AUACGGAGGGGGCAAGCGUUGUUCGGAAUUACUGGGCGUAAAGGGCGCGUAGGCGGGCUGGUUAGUUGGGGGUGAAAUCCCAGGGCUCAACCCUGGAACUGCCCUCAAUACUGCCAGUCUUGAGUUCGAGAGAGGUAAGUGGAAUUCCUAGUGUAGAGGUGAAAUUCGUAGAUAUUAGGAAGAACACCAGUGGCGAAGGCGGCUUACUGGCUCGAUACUGACGCUGAGGCGCGAAAGCGUGGUGAGCAAACAGAAUUAGAAACCCCGGUAGUCC